AGCGAAUGGAUUAAGAGCUUGCUCUUAUGAAGUUAGCGGCGGACGGGUGAGUAACACGUGGGUAACCUGCCCAUAAGACUGGGAUAACUCCGGGAAACCGGGGCUAAUACCGGAUAACAUUUUGAACCGCAUGGUUCGAAAUUGAAAGGCGGCUUCGGCUGUCACUUAUGGAUGGACCCGCGUCGCAUUAGCUAGUUGGUGAGGUAACGGCUCACCAAGGCAACGAUGCGUAGCCGACCUGAGAGGGUGAUCGGCCACACUGGGACUGAGACACGGCCCAGACUCCUACGGGAGGCAGCAGUAGGGAAUCUUCCGCAAUGGACGAAAGUCUGACGGAGCAACGCCGCGUGAGUGAUGAAGGCUUUCGGGUCGUAAAACUCUGUUGUUAGGGAAGAACAAGUGCUAGUUGAAUAAGCUGGCACCUUGACGGUACCUAACCAGAAAGCCACGGCUAACUACGUGCCAGCAGCCGCGGUAAUACGUAGGUGGCAAGCGUUAUCCGGAAUUAUUGGGCGUAAAGCGCGCGCAGGUGGUUUCUUAAGUCUGAUGUGAAAGCCCACGGCUCAACCGUGGAGGGUCAUUGGAAACUGGGAGACUUGAGUGCAGAAGAGGAAAGUGGAAUUCCAUGUGUAGCGGUGAAAUGCGUAGAGAUAUGGAGGAACACCAGUGGCGAAGGCGACUUUCUGGUCUGUAACUGACACUGAGGCGCGAAAGCGUGGGGAGCAAACAGGAUUGUAUACCCUGGUAGUCCACGCCGUAAACGAUGAGUGCUAGUGUUAGAGGGUUUCCGCCCUUUAGUGCUGAAGUUAACGCAUUAAGCACUCCGCC
rnacentral:rRNA from 1 species